AGUUAAUAAGCAAGAAUUAUGCAUAUAUUUUGAAAAUAUAAUUAUAGAAAUUAAAAUUUUCUAUUAACUU
rnacentral:tRNA from 1 species